rnacentral:rRNA from 1 species
GAUGAACGCUAGCUACAGGCUUAACACAUGCAAGUCGAGGGGUCUGCUUCGGCAGACGACCGGCGCACGGGUGAGUAACGCGUAUCCAACCUGCCCUUCUCAUUGGGAUAGCCUUUCGAAAGAGAGAUUAAUACCGAAUAACAUAGUUUGAUUGCCUGAUUAUACUAUGAAAGCUCCGGCGGAGAAGGAUGGGGAUGCGUUCCAUUAGGUAGUAGGCGGGGUAACGGCCCACCUAGCCUACGAUGGAUAGGGGUUCUGAGAGGAAGGUCCCCCACACUGGAACUGAGACACGGUCCAGACUCCUACGGGAGGCAGCAGUGAGGAAUAUUGGUCAAUGGACGCAAGUCUGAACCAGCCAAGUAGCGUGAAGGAUGACUGCCCUAUGGGUUGUAAACUUCUUUUGCCGUAGAACAAAACAUGCCACGUGUGGCAUUUUGCGUGUAUACGUUGAAUAAGCAUCGGCUAACUCCGUG